rnacentral:rRNA from 1 species
GGGCAAUGGGCGGCGGCUACACAUGCAGUCGAGCGGUAGCACAGAGAGCUUGCUCUCGGGUGACGAGCGGCGGACGGGUGAGUAAUGUCUGGGAAACUGCCUGAUGGAGGGGGAUAACUACUGGAAACGGUAGCUAAUACCGCAUAACGUCGCAAGACCAAAGAGGGGGACCUUCGGGCCUCUUGCCAUCAGAUGUGCCCAGAUGGGAUUAGCUAGUAGGUGGGGUAACGGCUCACCUAGGCGACGAUCCCUAGCUGGUCUGAGAGGAUGACCAGCCACACUGGAACUGAGACACGGUCCAGACUCCUACGGGAGGCAGCAGUGGGGAAUAUUGCACAAUGGGCGCAAGCCUGAUGCAGCCAUGCCGCGUGUAUGAAGAAGGCCUUCGGGUUGUAAAGUACUUUCAGCGAGGAGGAAGGCAUUGUGGUUAAUAACCACAGUGAUUGACGUUACUCGCAGAAGAAGCACCGGCUAACUCUGUGCAGCAGCCGCGAA